GCUUACGGCCAUACCACGUUGAAUGCACCAGUUCUCGUCCGAUCACUGAAGUUAAGCAACGUCGGGCUCGGUAACCCUUCGGUCAAUCACUUCCUAAUGAUCAUUGGUA
rnacentral:rRNA from 1 species